rnacentral:rRNA from 1 species
AAAUUCCCUUCGGGGCUUUCUGCAAGGUGCUGCAUGGUUGUCGUCAGCUCGUGCCGUGAGGUGUCGGGUUAAGUCCCCAUAACGAGCGCAACCCUUAUCGUUAGUUGCCAUCUGGUAAUGCAGGGGACUCUAGCGAAACUGCCACCGUAAGGUGAGAGGAAGGUGGGGAUGACGUCAAAUCAGCACGGCCCUUGUGUCCAGGGCUACACACGUGUUACAAUGGUCGGUACAGAGGGCAGCUACCUGGUGACAGGAUGCUAAUCUCGAAAACCGGUCUCAGUUCGGAUCGAAGUCUGCAACUCGACUUCGUGAAGCUGGAUUCGCUAGUAAUCGCGCAUCAGCUAUGGCGCGGUGAAUACGUUCCCGGGCCUU